ACGUAGGUGGCAAGCGUUGUUCGGAAUUAUUGGGCGUAAAGGGCGCGUAGGCGGUCUUGUAAGUCAGCUGUGAAAGCCCGGGGCUCAACCCCGGAGGGUCGGCUGAUACUGCAGGACUGGAGUACGGAAGAGGUAGCUGGAAUUCCCGGUGUAGCGGUGAAAUGCGUUGAUAUCGGAAGGAAGGCCGGUGGCGAAAGCGACGGACUGGAUCUCUUCUGACGCUGAGGCGCGAAAGCCAGGGGAGCAAACGGGA
rnacentral:rRNA from 1 species